rnacentral:rRNA from 1 species
AUUGAACGCUGGCGGCAGGCUUAACACAUGCAAGUCGAGCGAGCGGCGGACGGGUGAGUAAUGUCUGGGAAACUGCCUGAUGGAGGGGGAUAACUACUGGAAACGGUAGCUAAUACCGCAUACUAUCAGAUGAGCCCAGAUGGGAUUAGCUAGUAGGUGGGGUAAAGGCUCACCUAGGCGACGAUCCCUAGCUGGUCUGAGAGGAUGACCAGCCACACUGGAACUUGGACACGGGCCAGACUCCUACGGGAGGCAGCAGUGGGGAAUAUUGCACAAUGGGCGCAAGCCUGAUGCAGCCAUGCCGCGUGUGUGAAGAAGGCCUUCGGGUUGUAAAGCACUUUCAGCGAGGAGGCGUUACUCGCAGAAGAAGCACCGGCUAACUCCGUGCCAGCAGCCGCGGUAAUUC